AAUAAAAUAAAUCCUGAGUUUCCGUAUUCAAUGUUUGACUGUCCGUCUUAUAUAAUUUUUUUUUAUAAUUAGUAUUUCCAUUGUUGUUAGAUGAUAAAAUAUAAUUAAUACUUUAUGCGUGACUUGUCUUUUUAUUUUUUUAUAAUUUUUUUAAAUAAGACGGACGGUCAAACGUUGAAUACGGAAACUCAGUGUU
rfam:Oryza sativa Japonica Group DNA, chromosome 6, cultivar: Nipponbare, complete sequence.